AAUAGAUACCCGGGUAGUCCAUGCCGUAAACGUUGGGCACUAGGUGUGGGGGACAUUCCACGUUUUCCGCGCCGUAGCUAACGCAUUAAGUGCCCCGCCUGGGGAGUACGGCCGCAAGGCUAAAACUCAAAGGAAUUGACGGGGGCCCGCACAAGCGGCGGAGCAUGCGGAUUAAUUCGAUGCAACGCGAAGAACCUUACCAGGGCUUGACAUGAACCGGAAAGAUCUGGAAACAGGUCCCCCACUUGUGGUCGGUUUACAGGUGGUGCAUGGUUGUCGUCAGCUCGUGUCGUGAGAUGUUGGGUUAAGUCCCGCAACGAGCGCAACCCUCGUUCUAUGUUGCCAGCACGUGAUGGUGGGGACUCAUAGGGAGACUGCCGGGGUCAACUCGGGAGGAAGGUGGGGACGACGUCAAAGUCAUCAUGCCCCUUAUGUCUUGGGCUUCACGCAUGCUACAAUGGCCGGUACAAAGGGUUGCGAUACUGUGAGGUGGAGCUAAUCCCAAAAAGCCGGUCUCAGUUCGGAUUGGGGUCUGCAACUGGACCCCA
rnacentral:rRNA from 1 species